UACCUCAAAAAACCACAACAGUCUGUUUCAUCCGUAUAGGAAUCAUCAGGUGGUCUGAUGAUCCCUAUACGGAUGAAACAGACUGUUGUGGUUUUU